GAUGAACGCUGGCGGCGUGCCUAAUACAUGCAAGUCGAGCGAACGGACGAGAAGCUUGCUUCUCUGAUGUUAGCGGCGGACGGGUGAGUAACACGUGGAUAACCUACCUAUAAGACUGGGAUAACUUCGGGAAACCGGAGCUAAUACCGGAUAAUAUUUUGAACCGCAUGGUUCAAAAGUAAAAGACGGUCUUGCUGUCACUUAUAGAUGGAUCCGCGCUGCAUUAGCUAGUUGGUAAGGUAACGGCUUACCAAGGCAACGAUGCAUAGCCGACCUGAGAGGGGGAUCGGCCACACUGGAACUGAGACACGGUCCAGACUCCUACGGGAGGCAGCAGUAGGGAAUCUUCCGCAAUGGGCGAAAGCCUGACGGAGCAACGCCGCGUGAGUGAUGAAGGUCUUCGGAUCGUAAAACUCUGUUAUUAGGGAAGAACAUAUGUGUAAGUAACUGUGCACAUCUUGACGGUACCUAAUCAGAAAGCCACGGCUAACUACGUG
rnacentral:rRNA from 1 species